AUGUUUACCACGUUCAAAUCGUCCUACAAUGCCCAUCGCUUAUUUUUUUUCCUUUUCCUGAUUACCGCUCUUCCAAAUGUAUCCCAAUCGGUUAUGUUCGAGAGAACGAAAAAUCUGAUCAUGAACGCGAUCGGAUUUAACAAAUUCUUAAACGAGUCGCGAAACUUCGCCUCGAAAACCCAACCGGACAGGACACCGGGAUCAAAUUCUCGAUACGACUUCAUUGUGAUCGGGGCUGGGACGGCGGGUGCGGCCGUUGCAUCCAGACUCUCCGAGAUCGAGGAUAUAACCGUUCUUCUGAUCGAAACCGGAUUCGAGGAGGAGCUGUACAUGGACAUACCGUUGCUUACAAACUUUCUUCAACGGAUACCGGGCCUCGACUGGAUGUACCAAACGGAAUCGUCCGAGAAUUACUGCAGAGGGAUGAUCGGGCGCAAGUGCACUUUCCCCCAAGGGAAGGUGAUGGGAGGCAGUAGCGUGAUCAACUUCAUGAUCGCUACGAGGGGUAACAAAUGGGAUUACGACAACUGGGCGAGGAUGGGGAACCGUGGCUGGUCGUACGACGAGGUGUUGAAGUAUUUCAAGAGGUUGGAGAACAUGAUGAUACCCGAGUACAGGCACGACACGGUCUAUCACGGCACGGAGGGCCCGGUCAACAUCAAUUACGCCCGGUUCAAUACAACGGUGGCGAGAACGUUCGUCGAGGCUGGCCAGGAGCUUGGUUACCCGCUAUUGGAUUACAACGGUGAACGGCAAAUGGGCGUUUCCCUGUUACAGUCGACCACCGACAGGGGUGUGCGAACGAGCAGCAACAAAGCUUACCUUUUCGGCAAGCGGAGGAGGAAUCUUCACGUGACGAAGCUGAGCACGGUGCACAGGAUAUUGUUCGACGAGGGGAGGGGGCGAGCCAUAGGGGUGGAGUUCGCCAAGAGGGGGCGGCUUUUCACCGUGCACGCGGACAAGGAGGUGAUCGUCUCCGCCGGGGCGAUAUCCACCCCCAAGCUGUUAAUGCUGUCCGGUAUAGGGCCAGCUGAACACUUGAAGGAGCUGGGCAUAGAGGUGGUCAGGGACGCCCCCGUCGGCGAAAAUUUGAUGGACCACGUGGCUUACGGAGGCCUGGUUUACGACAUAGAUCAACGCGUGAACGUGAUCAGAAACGACGUGAACGAUAUAUUCCAAGGUUUCCUCAACGAUUAUUUCAUAGACAGGGGCGGGCCGUUAACCACGCUUGGAGGUUGCGAGGCGCUCGCGUUCAUCAACGUGGACGAUCCGAAGGAGAGGGAUGUACCAAACAUGGAGUUGCUUUUUCUGGGUACCUCGAUAUACACCGUGAACGUUAUAGCGAAGAAUUUCGGAUUGAACGAGGAGAUAUCGAAGAAAUUCAGCUCGUAUCGCAAUCGCAAGGCGUUGUCGGUGUUCCCGAUGCUGUUGCACCCGAAGAGCAGGGGGAGGAUAAGAUUGAGGUCCGGGAACGUGGAGGACAAGCCGAGGAUAUUCCCGAAUUAUAUGAGCGACCCGGACGACGUCAGGGUUCUGAUCAAGGGGAUCAAGGCGGCCAACGAGUUUCUGCUCACGACAAAGGCCUUCCAGAGAUUCGGUACACGGCUUAAUAACGAAACGAUGCUCGAGUGCGAGAAGUUCCCUUUCGACAGUGACGCUUAUUGGGAGUGCAAUUUGAGGUUGCUACCGCUCACUAUUUAUCAUUAUAGCGGCACGUGCAAAAUGGGGCCUGAGAGUGACAAAACUGCCGUGGUGGAUCCGACGUUGAAGGUAAUCGGUAUAAAGGGGUUAAGAGUGGUCGAUGCUUCGAUAAUGCCGAUGAUACCCUCGGGUCACACUAAUAUUCCCACGUUCAUGAUCGCGGAAAAGGCAUCCGAUAUGAUUAAAGAUGAAUGGGGAUAUCCGACUUCUUAAUAUUGCCGUUGGAUGAUUAAAAGUAAUAUAUAUAUAUAUAUAGAAAAAGUGAAAGUGAAUAUCCUUCACGGGUAUUUACCCUUUUAAAAAUAUUCAUUGAUCGGAUUAACGAUAAAGAAGGAAUUAAUUAUUGAUCUGUAUUAAAAUUUUCUACUAUUGGAGAAAAAAUAUCGUGUAAUAUUUGAAGACAAAAUUGAGUCACAAAGAGAGCCCACUAUCGCUUCUUUAUCGACCAUGCUCUCUCUUAUUUUGGCUCAGGGAUUUUUGAUUUAAAUAAAAAUUCUUUAGAUUUUGCUGUAUCAUAUCUUUGAAUAGAAAGAAAAAAAUGAUUUACUUCUUAAUCAAAUUAUUUAAUUUUCAUUAUUUAGAAUAAAAGAGAUAUUCUCUUAAAUUUUUUAAAUUUAACUAUUAGAUGUAACAUUUUAUCAUUAAGUUAAAAAACAUAUGUUUUAAUACAUAUAAAAUUUCAUAUUCGAUAUUCACUUUUCUUUUUUUGUUCUUCCCCUCUUUAUAAUCCUUCAGAUUUUUCGAUAAAGUAAAGUGGCAAUCCUGCCACUAAUUAUUUAUUCACCAACCCGAAUGCAUAUGUAAAACUGCACGAUUUAAUAUAAUCAUGUAUAAUCGAUCAAUUAAAUUGAUUUAAUUAUUUUUAAAAUGA